rnacentral:lncRNA from 10 species
GUGGACAGCUGGCAUUCCUCAGCGUAUUGGUCAGACGACACUCCCUCCUCCGAGAAUGGCAGGGUUCCCUCAGUGGAGGAGGCGAGCUGAUUGGGUCAGCUGGGAGCUAAGUGAGGUCACAGGGAGGGGCCCCUACCCUGUAUAAUUGUAUCUUUAUAAGGAGUGAAAGAGACACCAUCUACGGCUUCGCUCCUGGGGAGCCAGAAGCAUGGAAUCAGGUCCGCGUGGUGGAGGGUUUGGGGCAGGGGCGGGUAAAUAUGAGGAAAGGGCCAGACAGUGAAUAUUUUAGGGUUUGUGGCUGUGCAACUCUGCUGUUGUAGUGCAGAAGCAGCCGUGGGUGAUACCUGGGCAAAUGGGCCUGGCUGUGUUCCCAUGAAAAUGCAUUUACUAUAACAGAUGCCAAGAGGAUUAGGCCACCAACUUUGGCGUGUGCUCUUCGGGCCUGCCGUCUAACAGAAUGAGGGUUCCAGCGGUGUUCGCAUCAUCAGACGUCUAGUGUUCUGCACAUAAAACAAGCUCUUGAGGUCAGGAGACAACAUGCAAUCUAGCAGGCAGGUAGCUCGUGAAGCGUCUCAUCUCCCAGCAUAACAAGUGCUUCUCCAUCCAUAUGUACAGAAUUCCACUCUCCAGGUGGGAACGUUGUGAUGGAAUACGCUCUGAGAGAUAGAGGAGGCGACUUCUGCCAGGAGUGAUCAGGAGGACUUCUUGGAGGAGGCAGCACUUGAGCUGGUCUUGAAAGAUGAUGAGAUUUUAAUGGGAAAAGAGAUGAUCGAGAAGAACCUUCUAGCAGGAGGGAGCUGCCCUAGCAAAGACAGGAAGGCUGGAAAAUGCGAGAAGUGGGACAGGAAGAUCAACACAGGACCUCUCCCUUCUGAGCCAAACUGACACCUACCUCUUGCCAUGACAGGCCGCUCUUCUGGAGAUUAUAAACUAUUUAUUUUUAACAGAGAAACUGCCUUAGUUGGAGUUCUGGCUCUGCCACUUACUUAGGUAAGAAAGAACUUCUUGGGCCUCAGGCCCUCACCUGUAAAAGGGGCUGAAUAAUAGGAUUGUGCCUCUCUCCAAUGGGCUGUUAGAGGUUGGACUGCAUGCCCCCAAUACUCUUAUGCUGAGGCCUAACCCGGUGUGACUGCACAUGGAGACAGGGUGUGUAGGGAGGGGAUGAAGCUUAAGUGAGGCCACAGGGGAGGCCCAACCCUGUAGAGUCGUGUCUUUAUAAGGAGUGAAAGAGACACCAUUGCUUGCUUCUCUCCUGUGGGCAGAGGAAAGGCCAGGUGAGGACACAGGCAGGAGGUGCCCCCGCAGCCUCAGGCAGAGCCCUCACCACGCCAGCCCUGCUGACGCCUUGAUCUUGGACUCCCAGGCGUCUGCUGCAUAAGCCACCCCGUCCGACGUACUUUCCCAUGGCAGCUUGAGCAGAAUGAGACUGGGGCUUUGGAAGAAGGAACUUCACAUGUGAGGAGCUUGGAGAGUGGGACGUGCCAUGUGUGCACAUGUGCUGCUGGUGGUCGGCGCUGCCUCAGGUCUGAAAUGAUGUCUUCUCUUUCCUGUUUUCUGAGCAGCUCAUUCUGCUGCCCGUCAAAUAGGCCCUUUCCCCAGGACCCUUGGGGUCCAGCUGAGUGGAGCAGCCUCCCACACUGGAAGCCUUGAGUUUUCCCCACCUGGGCCUUUCUCUCUGUCCCUGACAUCCGGUUGGUCACCAGAUCCUGGCAGUUGAAAGUCAUUCUCAAGUCCAGCCCCACCACUGCACCUCGGUCCAUGCUCCUGGACACCAGUCUCUCACCGAGCGCUAUGCGUGGCUUGCGUCUGCGGCUGAGAAAUCCUUUCAAACGCACGCCUUCCCUAUUAUAUCCAGCAUAGGAUCUGACCCGGCAGGACCUCAGUAAAGACUUGUGGCUGCUUUAAGAGUGGGCACCUGCCGUCACAUUUUCCUCAGCAUUUUCCCUAUGCUGCUGGCGCAUUGGGUAGCUCUACUCAACCCAUGACGGAUUGCAGAUCUUUUGGCCGCUGCAUUCACAAAUUUGUCCCGAGCCGCUCCAUGGAAGGCAUCCCAGAAGCCUAUCAAUCUUCCCAUGAGUGUUCAAGAUUCCCAAAUCCCCAAAAGGCCCUAAUACCAUCUCUGUGUGAGCAGCUGCCCAUGUGUUGGGGAGUGCCCUGCCUGAGGCAGAGGGCGCACUGCAUCUGUUUGGAGGUGGGUGAGCCUCACGUGUUCUGCACAGGGCAUGAGGUAGGCAUUGGAGAGCAGCCCUGGCCCCCCCACCCAGGGGACAGUAGGUGGGGUUCUAAAUUAUGAGUCAUUAAUCAGCUCUUCAUAUGUCUGAAUUAUUCAUAAAGUAAGUGCUUGUGGUUUGGAUGCUAGUCUAUGAAUAUAUAGGCAAAUUAUUUAUUAUGGCAUUUACAUGGAUUUUGCAAAAAAGUUUUCCAGAAACCCUUUAGGUUCAGUGGUUGAAUUUAACAAAUAUUUCCUGUGCACCUACUCUAUGACAGAAAUUGUGAUUGGCGUUAAAGACAUAAAGAUGAAUAGGAUAAUAAGCACCUGCCUUCAGUGUGCUCUGGGUUAGCAGGGAGAACACACAAUCCAGCUGGUCCACAGAGGCUGACUUAUUAACAACAUUUAUCACAGCAUGUGGGAAAUAUGAGCUAACUGUAUUUCAGAUAGUAACAUGACCACGCCAAAACCAAACCAAAUCAAAACAAGGCAAGAAACCAAACCAACAAACCAACCCCACCACCACAACAGAAACUAACCCAAGUAACAUUGAACACGGAACCUUGACCUAUAACCCUUGUCCUGCAGACAAAAUACCUGCAAACAAAUAUUGAACUUGACUUGUGGGUUUGCUUUCACUGUGGUGCAAGGUAGCAAUUCUGUAAUGAUUUUCUGUCUUGUAGGGUUGAGCAAAUACAAGAUUCCACCAGUGCUGUUGGAAGCCAGCGUUCUUGUUUUUGGAAAGGGGACAUUUUCUUUCUUUCUCUUAUUUUUUUCCCUCCCUCCCUCCCUCCCUCCCUCCCUCCCUCCCUUCCUUCCUUUCCGUCAAAGCACUUACAAUCUUCUCACAUACUAUACAAUUUACUUAUUUAUUGUGUUCCCCAUUUGGUGUCUGUCUUCCCCCCGGGGGCAGGGCUCUUUGCUGCUUCAUCCAAUAUGUGUUCACGAUCUGAGUGCCUGCAAUAGUAGGCAUGUGCUUAUCUAGUGAAUGAUGGGCAAUGGUGGUGGAGAUGCAGAUUAGGACCAGGUCAUGGGGAGUACUGGAUUACGAAAGUGAACACAUUUGGAUUUCAGCCUGUUGGAAAAUGAGAUGAUGCUGGAAGUGGUGAAGGGGCUGCAACAUGAUGAGAG